UACGUAGGUGGCGAGCGUUGUCCGGAAUUAUUGGGCGUAAAGGGUGCGUAGGCGGUAGUUUAAGUGGGGCGUGAAAUCCCCGGGCUUAACCCGGGAGCUGCGCUCCAAACUGGACUACUUGAGUGCAGGAGAGGAAAGCGGAAUUCCCAGUGUAGCGGUGAAAUGCGUAGAGAUUGGGAGGAACACCAGUGGCGAAGGCGGCUUUCUGGACUGUAACUGACGCUGAGGCACGAAAGCGUGGGGAGCAAACAGG
rnacentral:rRNA from 1 species